UACGGAAGGGGCAAGCGUUGUUCGGAAUCAUUGGGCGUAAAGCGCGCGUAGGUGGCCACAUAAGUCCGUUGUGAAAGUCAAAGGCUCAACCUUUGAAAGCCGAUGGAUACUGUGUGGCUAGAGUACGGAAGAGGCGAGUGGAAUUCCUGGUGUAGCGGUGGAAUGCGCAGAUAUCAGGAGGAACACCAAUAGCGAAGGCAGCUCGCUGGAACGUUACUGACACUGAGGCGCGAAAGCGUGGGGAGCGAACAGG
rnacentral:rRNA from 1 species